GGUUAAGCGACUAAGCGUACACGGUGGAUGCCCUGGCAGUCAGAGGCGAUGAAGGACGUGCUAAUCUGCGAUAAGCGUCGGUAAGGUGAUAUGAACCGUUAUAACCGGCGAUUUCCGAAUGGGGAAACCCAGUGUGAUUCGUCACACUAUCAUUAACUGAAUCCAUAGGUUAAUGAGGCGAACCGGGGGAACUGAAACAUCUAAGUACCCCGAGGAAAAGAAAUCAACCGAGAUUCCCCCAGUAGCGGCGAGCGAACGGGGAGCAGCCCAGAGCCUGAAUCAGUGUGUGUGUUAGUGGAAGCGUCUGGAAAGGCGUGCGAUACAGGGUGACAGCCCCGUACACAAAAAUGCACAUGCUGUGAGCUCGAUGAGUAGGGCGGGACACGUGGUAUCCUGUCUGAAUAUGGGGGGACCAUCCUCCAAGGCUAAAUACUCCUGACUGACCGAUAGUGAACCAGUACCGUGAGGGAAAGGCGAAAAGAACCCCGGCGAGGGGAGUGAAAAAGAACCUGAAACCGUGUACGUACAAGCAGUGGGAGCACGCUUAGGCGUGUGACUGCGUACCUUUUGUAUAAUGGGUCAGCGACUUAUAUUCUGUAGCAAGGUUAACCGAAUAGGGGAGCCGAAGGGAAACCGAGUCUUAACUGGGCGUUAAGUUGCAGGGUAUAGACCCGAAACCCGGUGAUCUAGCCAUGGGCAGGUUGAAGGUUGGGUAACACUAACUGGAGGACCGAACCGACUAAUGUUGAAAAAUUAGCGGAUGACUUGUGGCUGGGGGUGAAAGGCCAAUCAAACCGGGAGAUAGCUGGUUCUCCCCGAAAGCUAUUUAGGUAGCGCCUCGUGAAUUCAUCUCCGGGGGUAGAGCACUGUUUCGGCAAGGGGGUCAUCCCGACUUACCAACCC
rnacentral:rRNA from 1 species